rnacentral:rRNA from 1 species
UACGAGGGGGGCGAGCGUUGUUCGGAAUUAUUGGGCGUAAAGGGUGCGUAGGCGGUUUGGUAAGUCUGAUGUGAAAUCUAUGGGCUCAACUCAUAGUCUGCAUCGGAAACUGCCGGGCUUGAGUAUGGGAGAGGUGAGUGGAAUUCCUGGUGUAGCGGUGAAAUGCGUAGAUAUCGCUUGGAACGCCAAUGGUGAAAACAGCUUGCUGGGGGUGUGCUGACGCUGAGACACGAAAGCCAGGGGAGCAAACGGG